AGAGUUUGAUCCUGGCUCAGGACGAACGCUGGCGGCGUGCUUAACACAUGCAAGUCGAACGGAAAGGCCCCUUCGGGGGUGCUCGAGUGGCGAACGGGUGAGUAACACGUGGGUGAUCUSCCCUGCACUUCGGGAUAAGCUUGGGAAACUGGGUCUAAUACCGGAUAGGACCAUGGCCUGCAUGGGUUGUGGUGGAAAGUUUUUGCGGUGUGGGAUGGGCCCGCGGCCUAUCAGCUUGUUGGUGGGGUGAUGGCCUACCAAGGCGACGACGGGUAGCCGGCCUGAGAGGGUGUCCGGCCACACUGGGACUGAGAUACGGCCCAGACUCCUACGGGAGGCAGCAGUGGGGAAUMUUGCACAAUGGGCGCAAGCCUGAUGCAGCGACGCCGCGUGGGGGAUGACGGCCUUCGGGUUGUAAACCUCUUUCACCAUCGACGAAGGCCUGCUUUUGGGUGGGUUGACGGUAGGUGGAGAARARGCACCGGCCAACUACGUGCCAGCAGCCGCGGUAAUMYYCKWCG
rnacentral:rRNA from 1 species